rnacentral:rRNA from 1 species
GAUGAACGCUGGCGGCGUGCCUAAUACAUGCAAGUCGAGCGAACGGACGAGAAGCUUGCUUCUCUGAUGUUAGCGACGGACGGGUGAGUAACACGUGGAUAACCUACCUAUAAGACUGGGAUAACUUCGGGAAACCGGAGCUAAUACCGGAUAAUAUUUUGAACCGCAUGGUUCAAAAGUGAAAGACGGUCUUGCUGUCACUUAUAGAUGGAUCCGCGCUGCAUUAGCUAGUUGUUAAGGUAACGGCUUACCAAGGCAACGAUGCAUAGCCGACAUGAGAGGGUGAUCGGCCACACUGGAACUGAGACACGGUCCAGACUCCUACGGGAGGCAGCAGUAGGGAAUCUUCCGCAAUGGGCGAAAGCCUGACGGAGCAACGCCGCGUGAGUGAUGAAGGUCUUCGGAUCGUAAAACUCUGUUAUUAGGGAAGAACAUAUGUGUAAGUAACUGUGCACAUCUUGACGGUACCUAAUCAGAAAGCCACGGCUAACUACGUG